GUCUACGGCCAUGCCACCCUGAACAAGCCCGAUCCUGUCUGAUCUCGGAAGCUAAGCAGGGUCGGGCCUGGUUAGUACUUGGAUGGGAGGCCACCUAGGAAGAUCAGGUGCUGUAGGCG
rnacentral:rRNA from 1 species